rnacentral:RNase_P_RNA from 1 species
UGAGCAAACCAGACAGUUGCGGGCGCUUUGCGAAAGCGGGCGUCUGAGGAAAGUCCGGGCUCCACAGGGCAAGGAUAACGGCUAACGGCCGCCGGGGGUGACCCCAGGGAAAGUGCAACAGAGAUAUACCGCCGGGGGAAACCCCGGUAAGGGUGGAAAGGCGAGGUAAAAGCUCACCGGCGCGCAGGAGACUGCGCGGCCCUGUAAACCCUAUCCGGAGCAACACCGUGGCAGGACGGCAGUUCAGUCUGCAAGCGCGGCCCGCGCGUCCUAUGGAGGUGGCGAGAGCCUGUUGGCAACGGCAGGCCAAGAUAGAUGACUGUCCGCGACAGAACCCGGCUUACAGGUUUGGUCACAAG